rnacentral:rRNA from 1 species
CUGGCAUCUUGGAGGAAAGCUUGGUUUGGUUUGAAAAAACAAGAAAAAACUAAGAAAAUCGAUUUAUCGAAUAAAUUUCUGUUUAUAUAUUGAUAAUGACAAUAUGUACAUUUUGUCUUGACUAAUUACGUGCCAGCAGUCGCGGGAAUACGUAUGAGACUAGUGUUAUUCAUCUUAAAUAGGUUUAAAGGGUACUUAGACGGUAAAUAUUGCCUUGUAAUAAAUAGACAACUGAUUUACUAGAGUUUUAUGUAAGAAGAUAGUACUUGUGAGUGGAGAGAUUAAAUUCUUUUAUACCUAGGGGACUGGUGAAGGCGAAGGCAAUCUUUUAUGUAAAAACUGACGUUAAAGGACGAAGGCACAGGGCACGAACAGGAUUAGAUACCCAAGUAGUCUUUGCAGAGAAUUAUGAAUGCCAUAGGUUAGGUUAUAACUUAGUCUAUAAAUGAAAGUGUAAGCAUUUCACCUCAAGAGUAAUGUGGCAACGCAGGAACUGAAAUCACUAGGCCGUUUCUGACACCAGCAGUGAAGUAUGUUAUUUAAUUCGGUGAUCCNCGAAAAACCUUACCACNAUUUGAAUGUUAAUAAUAUAGAAUUUAUUUUAUAAUAUUAAUACAAGUGUUGCACGGCUGUUUUCAGUUAAUGUUGUGAAACUGUGGUUCGGUCCAUGGAAUUAACGGAAACCCUAGCUUUAUUUAUAAAAUAAAUUAAUAGAGCUGUUCACCUUUAUAUUGGAUGUGAUAAUAGGGACUAAGU